rnacentral:tRNA from 6 species
GGGUGAUUAGCUCAGCUGGGGAGAGCACCUCCCUUACAAGGAGGGGGUCGGCGGUUCGAUCCCGUCAUCACCCACCA